CACUGAGCUCAGGUCAUCAGGCUUGCUGGCAUGCACAUUCACCCACUGAGCCAUCUCAUUGGUCCUGGUUUUUUUAUGCUAGGGUCUUAUUCCAAGGGCCAUGCUUGCCUUGAAUUUGCAAUCAUUUUCCUUCUCUAGACUCCCUUGUGCUGAGGUUAUAGGCAUAGUCCAUGCUCGGGAAACUACACAUUUCUUAAAAUCAGCUAGGUAAUUCCUAUAUCCAAGAACAAUCAAUUCAGAUUGCAUUAUCCCCUCAAGGCAUAAACUUCUAUGGAGUAACCCAGAACCUAGGAGACUCAGAAGCACAACAAAAACAAUUUAAAUUACAUUUUGUAUAAAACGCUCUAGUUACAUGUUUUUCUAACAACGUAAUACCUUUUUCUUCUUGUCUCUGAUUGUAUAUUAUUAUGUUUCCCAUGACUUACAGGUCAUGUACCAGCCUAAAAUGCGGGUGAGAUUAUUUGUUUCUUCAAAAAGUGUCAGGUUUCAGAACAAUGCCAAAGUCAACUUAACCUCCUUUAAUUAAUUUCUGGAGGUGCUAUAAUGCCACUUGGUUGUCAACUUGACUUCUUCUGGAAUCAACUAGAACCCAAGCUUCUGUGAGGGAUUUCCUUGAUUGGAUCAGGUUUCACUAGCAACUUCAUCUAUCCUGUUGCCGAGGCAUUCCUCUGCUGGUAUUAUAACAUACUUCUUUGGGAUUCCAACACAGACUGAAGACUAGCAGCUCUCUAGGAACCUUCCAGGACUCCAGAACCUGACUGGGAUUGCUGAGGACAUCUAGUCUCCUGGAUAGAACAACUACAGUAUUUUUGCCCUUUCUAUCAGAAGACAAUCAUUGUUAGACUAACUGAACCAUGGUCUAAAGCCACUCUAAUAAAUCUCAUGUAUAUAUUCA
rnacentral:sRNA from 1 species